rnacentral:rRNA from 1 species
ACUUUUAUAUAUUAAUUUAAUUUUUUUGAAUUUUAAGAGUUUAAUUAAAUAUUAUAUUUUGUUGGGGCGAUAAAGGUAUAAAUAAUAUUAACUGCUUAAUUUUAAAUCAAUAAUAUUUGUAUUGUUAAAUAAAUGAUCCUUUUUAAAGAAUAAAAAACUAAGUU